rnacentral:lncRNA from 1 species
UCCUGAUUCUCCUGUCCUGAGUGAGUGCAAGGGGCUCCCCUGUCGCCGAUGCGUUCUUUGAAGCAGAUGCUGCGCCUGAUACCUGCUGGAGAGUCCCACCGCCUUGAUAAAGCUAAGCUUCAUCGGAAUACUAACAGCCUGAGAAAUACCUAUCAAGAUCAAGUCAGGCCUCAAAGACUGAGUGGCCCCCUCCUCAGUCCUCCCCAGUCCCCCACCCCCAGUGCUAGCCUCCAGCAUUUUUACGUUCUUCCUGAUUUUACCACAGUUUGUGACUUUCAACGUUAAGGAAAAGGAAAGGACGUAAAAUACGCUCCUGCAAUCAUUCAUAUGCUUUUAGAGAAGGCAGCCAAAGUUCUGCCUCUCUGGUAUUUCUCGCACUGAAAUUGGGCAGCUCUGACCACGAGGCCAGAAAUGGCUCAGGAGCUGCCUCUCCUCCACCUCUGAGAAGCGGAAGCUCACCCAACCUCAGCAACCCUGGGUUAGCACAAGUAUACCCACUUCCAAUUCUGAGCUUCACUUUGGCUUCUCAGAGGAGUCCCGAGCAGCUUAUUUCCAGCCAAGCACUGCAGUCUCUUCCAAGACAACAGAACGUGCAACCGGCAUCUACAUUCUUACAAUGAAGGACUGAGAAACACCUCCUGACAGUCACACUACAGGACAGUAACCAUGGGGCUGGUGACAGAGGCAGCCACUUUUCUAAAACGACAGAUCUUCAAAGUCUGAAAGAAACGCAGUGUCCUCACCAGGACGCAGCAGCCUUUCCCACAGCCCAGACUCCAAGGCAAACUGCAGAAGCGACCCUAAAAAUGACAGAAACAUACUCACCAGGGAGAGGCUGGUGGCUCCACCUUCCCAGGAACUGUGCUGUGAAGAUCUGAAGACAGGCACGGGCUCAGGCACCGCUUGCCUAGAGUGUCAAUUUGAA